AUUAUUUAACAGUUAUGAAGAAAUUAAAAUUCUAAAGUAUUGAGAUAUUGGUAAGUUGUACUUAGCGUUACUUCUAUGGUGCUUUCUGUUAUCAAAAAGAAUCCUCUAACUUUACUAAAUCCCAAGAAAAAGCGAGCAAAACCAAAAAGAUUAUAUAGAGCUUGUCCCGAUUUUUACAGAGAAGAGCGCAACGCUAAACUAAUUAAAAUUGAAUUUUUUAUAGCGUUAUUUUGCGGAAAAACCGGAACAAUUGCAGCCCUAUAUAUAGAUGAAUUUGUAUUUACCUUUUACAAAUAUCUGAAGUUAAUUUGUUA